UCAUAGUGGGAGUACUCCUUCUAAGCUAAAUACCGCCAUGAGACCGAUAGUAAACAAGUACCGUGAGGGAAAGUUGAAAAGCACUCUGAAUAGAGAGUCAAAGAGUACGUGAAACUGCCAAGGGUGUAAAACUUGUGGAACUCAUUUUUCCGCGACUUAAAAAGGCGGAGCGCUACGUCCCAUGGUUUUCAGACCCUUUACGGGUAUGAAACCAGGGAAGGGCACCCCCAACUUUUAGGUCAAUGCGGACAUCGUGAUCCAUUACGAAACGGUCGCGUUCGACCCUCCGGGGUCGGCGCAGCUUCUCUGACACCAAAGGUCCCAGGACUACUGCGGUCAACCCUCUAGUAGUGGCGCUCAGCUUAAGGCCGGCGCCGCGAACGGGGGAUCGAGGCCUCCGGGCUUCGAGUUUGGCCAGUCCCGGUGUGCCGUCGGGGGCGUGAUGGAUUCCAAACGAAAGAGGGCUAGCUGGAAGCGCAUGUUUGGGCAUGUAACUGGGCGCGAGCCCGGGGCGACCACUGCUCCCGAUCGACGAUGCAUUAACAAAGUGAGGUACCCACGGGACCCGUCUUGAAACACGGACAAGAAAAUUCACCA
rnacentral:rRNA from 1 species